rnacentral:rRNA from 1 species
AUUGAACGCUGGCGGCAGGCCUAACACAUGCAAGUCGCACGAGUGGCGGACGGGUGCGUAAUGUCUGGGAAACUGCCUGAUGGAGGGGGAUAACUCCUGGAAACGGUAGCUAAUACCGCAUACCAUCGGAUGUGCCCAGAUGGGAUUAGCUAGUAGGUGGGGUAACGGCUCAACUAGGCGACGAUCCCUAGCUGGUCUGAGAGGAUGACCAGCCAAACGGGAACGGAGACACGGUCCAGACUCCUACGGGAGGCAGCAGUGGGGAAUAGUGCAAAAUGGGCGCAAGCCUGAUGCAGCCAUGGCGCGUGUAUGAAGAAGGCCAUCGGGUUGUAAAGUACUUUCAGCGGGGAGGCGUUACCCGCAGAAGAAGCACCGGCUAACUCCGUGCCAGCCGCCGCGGUAAUUC